AGUUAUUUAUCCUAAAGAGGAUUUAUGUUUUGAAAACAUAAAUUUAAAGGUUUAAAUCCUUUAUUAACUU
rnacentral:tRNA from 1 species